rnacentral:rRNA from 1 species
GGGUUGUGAGGUUAAGCGACUAAGCGUACACGGUGGAUGCCCUGGCAGUCAGAGGCGAUGAAGGACGUGCUAAUCUGCGAAAAGCGUCGGUAAGGUGAUAUGAACCGUUAUAACCGGCGAUGUCCGAAUGGGGAAACCCAGUGCAAUUCGUUGCACUAUCGUUAACUGAAUACAUAGGUUAACGAGGCGAACCGGGGGAACUGAAACAUCUAAGUACCCCGAGGAAAAGAAAUCAACCGAGAUUCCCCCAGUAGCGGCGAGCGAACGGGGAGCAGCCCAGAGUCUGAAUCAGCUUGUGUGUUAGUGGAACGGUCUGGAAAGUCCGACGGUACAGGGUGAUAGUCCCGUACACCAAAAUGCACAGGUUGUGAACUCGAAGAGUAGGGCGGGACACGUGGUAUCCUGUCUGAAUAUGGGGGGACCAUCCUCCAAGGCUAAAUACUCCUGACUGACCGAUAGUGAACCAGUACCGUGAGGGAAAGGCGAAAAGAACCCCGGCGAGGGGAGUGAAAAAGAACCUGAAACCGUGUACGUACAAGCAGUGGGAGCACCUUCGGGUGUGACUGCGUACCUUUUGUAUAAUGGGUCAGCGACUUAUAUUCUGUAGCAAGGUUAACCGUAUAGGGGAGCCGCAGGGAAACCGAGUCUUAACUGGGCGUUAAGUUGCAGGGUAUAGACCCGAAACCCGGUGAUCUAGCCAUGGGCAGGUUGAAGGUUGGGUAACACUAACUGGAGGACCGAACCGACUAAUGUUGAAAAAUUAGCGGAUGACUUGUGGCUGGGGGUGAAAGGCCAAUCAAACCGGGAGAUAGCUGGUUCUCCCCGAAAGCUAUUUAGGUAGCGCCUCGUGAACUCAUCUUCGGGGGUAGAGCACUGUUUCGGCUAGGGGGUCAUCCCGACUUACCAACCCGAUGCAAACUACGAAUACCGAAGAAUGUUAUCACGGGAGACACACGGCGGGUGCUAACGUCCGUCGUGAAGAGGGAAACAACCCAGACCGCCAGCUAAGGUCCCAAAGUCAUGGUUAAGUGGGAAACGAUGUGGGAAGGCACAGACAGCCAGGAUGUUGGCUUAGAAGCAGCCAUCAUUUAAAGAAAGCGUAAUAGCUCACUGGUCGAGUCGGCCUGCGCGGAAGAUGUAACGGGGCUAAACCAUGCACCGAAGCUGCGGCAGCGACACUAUGUGUUGUUGGGUAGGGGAGCGUUCUGUAAGCCUGCGAAGGUGGCCUGUGAGGGUUGCUGGAGGUAUCAGAAGUGCGAAUGCUGACAUAAGUAACGAUAAAGCGGGUGAAAAGCCCGCUCGCCGGAAGACCAAGGGUUCCUGUCCAACGUUAAUCGGGGCAGGGUGAGUCGACCCCUAAGGCGAGGCCGAAAGGCGUAGUCGAUGGGAAACAGGUUAAUAUUCCUGUACUUGGUGUUACUGCGAAGGGGGGACGGAGAAGGCUAUGUUAGCCGGGCGACGGUUGUCCCGGUUUAAGCAUGUAGGCUGGUUGUCCAGGCAAAUCCGGAUAAUCAAGGCUGAGGUGUGAUGACGAGGCACUACGGUGCUGAAGUAACAAAUGCCCUGCUUCCAGGAAAAGCCUCUAAGCAUCAGGUAACAUUAAAUCGUACCCCAAACCGACACAGGUGGUCAGGUAGAGAAUACCAAGGCGCUUGAGAGAACUCGGGUGAAGGAACUAGGCAAAAUGGUGCCGUAACUUCGGGAGAAGGCACGCUGGUGUGUAGGUGAAGUCCCUGCGGAUGGAGCUGAGACCAGUCGAAGAUACCAGCUGGCUGCAACUGUUUAUUAAAAACACAGCACUGUGCAAACACGAAAGUGGACGUAUACGGUGUGACGCCUGCCCGGUGCCGGAAGGUUAAUUGAUGGGGUUAUCCGUAAGGAGAAGCUCUUGAUCGAAGCCCCGGUAAACGGCGGCCGUAACUAUAACGGUCCUAAGGUAGCGAAAUUCCUUGUCGGGUAAGUUCCGACCUGCACGAAUGGCGUAAUGAUGGCCAGGCUGUCUCCACCCGAGACUCAGUGAAAUUGAACUCGCUGUGAAGAUGCAGUGUACCCGCGGCAAGACGGAAAGACCCCGUGAACCUUUACUAUAGCUUGACACUGAACAUUGAGCCUUGAUGUGUAGGAUAGGUGGGAGGCUUUGAAGCGUGGACGCCAGUCUGCGUGGAGCCAACCUUGAAAUACCACCCUUUAAUGUUUGAUGUUCUAACGUUGGCCCCUUACCGGGGUUGCGGACAGUGUCUGGUGGGUAGUUUGACUGGGGCGGUCUCCUCCCAAAGCGUAACGGAGGAGCACGAAGGUUAGCUAAUCCUGGUCGGACAUCAGGAGGUUAGUGCAAUGGCAUAAGCUAGCUUGACUGCGAGCGUGACGGCGCGAGCAGGUGCGAAAGCAGGUCAUAGUGAUCCGGUGGUUCUGAAUGGAAGGGCCAUCGCUCAACGGAUAAAAGGUACUCCGGGGAUAACAGGCUGAUACCGCCCAAGAGUUCAUAUCGACGGCGGUGUUUGGCACCUCGAUGUCGGCUCAUCACAUCCUGGGGCUGAAGUAGGUCCCAAGGGUAUGGCUGUUCGCCAUUUAAAGUGGUACGCGAGCUGGGUUUAGAACGUCGUGAGACAGUUCGGUCCCUAUCUGCCGUGGGCGCUGGAGAAUUGAGGGGGGCUGCUCCUAGUACGAGAGGACCGGAGUGGACGCAUCACUGGUGUUCGGGUUGUCAUGCCAAUGGCACUGCCCGGUAGCUAAAUGCGGAAGAGAUAAGUGCUGAAAGCAUCUAAGCACGAAACUUGCCCCGAGAUGAGUUCUCCCUGAGACUUUAAGUCUCCUGAAGGAACGUUGAAGACGACGACGUUGAUAGGCCGGGUGUGUAAGCGCAGCGAUGCGUUGAGCUAACCGGUACUAAUGAACCGUGAGGCUUAACCUUACAACGCCGAAG